UACGUAGGGUGCAAGCGUUUAAUCGGAAUUACUGGGCGUAAAGGGCGCGUAGGCGGCGCAACAAGUCACUUGUGAAAUCUCCGGGCUUAACCCGGAGCGGUCAAGUGAUACUGUCGUGCUAGAGUGCGGAAGGGGCUACUGGAAUUCUCGGUGUAGCAGUGAAAUGCGUAGAUAUGCGGAGGAACACCGAUGGCGAAGGCAAUCCCCUGGGCCUGCACUGACGGCUGGAGACGCGAAAGCGUGGGUAGCAAACAGG
rnacentral:rRNA from 1 species